UGAUAAAAUAAAAUUAUAAAACGUAUAACUGCUUUGAUAUGGAAAGCGAGUCUCUACCCUAGGCCGUAAACUUAGGACUACGUGAAGAAAUUCCAUUUAA
rnacentral:ncRNA from 2 species